GUGCUUCAGCAGCACAUAUAAUAAAAUUGAAACAAUACAGAGUGCAUUAGCAUGGUUUAUGUACAAGGAUGACACUCAGUCUUGUGAAGCAUUCCAUAUUUUU